UGCUGAAUGAAGAAACUUGGAAACAAGAAACAAAAUCAAAUUAACAUCAAGAGUGAAACUCAAAAUAUACUGUAAUGCUCAAAGGGAGCCAAAGCCACCAGAUCAGAUGGUAGAUGGUAACCUUCGAUGUUCCUGUGUUUCCGGGAUGCUGAGAGGGCUGUAGGGCACUUGUUAUUGAAACACCACCCCCAAUGUACACACCAUCACCACUUCCUUUUUUCCCAUUAAAGUUGGCUCCCAGACUUAAGACUCAAUUUAAUACUUGACUUGAAAGUAUCUUGCAAAGACUUGGGACUCAACUUGAAACUUGAAAGUAGAGACUUGAAUUGGAAGUAUC